rnacentral:sRNA from 12 species
CCCACCAAGCCUCUCAACGAUGCACAAAUGUGCGGGG